rnacentral:lncRNA from 1 species
CGCACGACGUUUUAACCGAAAUAACUUCUUGCGCAAUUCAUGCCUUUCUAUUUUUAUGACCAAAAAUUGUUUCUUUAUUUCCAUUUCAAAUUGUUCUCUGGAUUUUUUAUCAAUAUGAGGUGAUCGUAACACAGUAUAUAAGACUCAUGAUUUAGGCAAUCCAAUCUUCCGUGUGUAAGGCGGAAGCCCCAAAAAAUUGUUUUCCAAAAAUGGGUGAUCAAAAGAUCUAAUUACUAUGUGUAUCUUGGUGGUCGUUACUUUUGGUAGUCUUUCUUUUUGGUUGACUCCUCUUCUUGAUCUAUUGAUCAGAAGCAUCCAGUAGCACCACGCUAGUAGAAAGAGUUAAGCUACUAAGCUAAGCUACUAUUGGGGAACUCGGUUGAAGCAAUUUGCCGAUUCCGCCUAUCAAAGUUCUAUUCAUUUCCAAAGGAGAACCUCGUCCGAGAACUUGUAUAGAGAAGGAUUUCCCGUGGCGCAGCAGUUCUUCCAUACCAACUUGGUGACCCUUAUUUACUUGUUUAUAAGGUUCCUAGAGGUUGGUUGUUUAUAGGCCUUAUCCACACAAGUAAUGGAGAACAUACGAAAGCUUUGGAAUAUUAUUUUUGAGCACUAGAAAGAAACCCAUUCUUACCACAAGCUUUUAAUAAUAUGGCCGUCAUCUGUCAUUACGUGCGACUAUCUCUACUAUAGAAAGAAAAAAGAAAAUCUACUAAUAAAAUAAAUAGUAGAAAAACAAGGCUUUCUACAUGUCCAUCGUCUAAAACAAGGCGAGAAACUUCCUUACUCCAUUGAAUAAAGUACUUAAGAGGAAGAUCAAAUCUAUAGCACUGUCGGACUUGCUGCUGUGAGACACUACUCCUCAUAAGGAAAUGCCCUAGGUCGCUUCUUUCCUCUUAGAGUCACUUCCUUCCUCUUGCAGCCACUUCCUUUUAGAGUAGCCCCUAUUCCAAUAUACCUAUUUUGAGUAAGAAGCCUAUCUUUUAGGCAAAAAUAGAAAACAAUCAAGAUAGUAGCAAUCUGCUUGAAAGCCAUCAAGAUAAAAGGCAAAGGCAGAGGAGUUUGAAAACUCUUUUUCAGUCCCAAUUUCGCAUCGCCCGUCGGGUAUGGUCAUCGCGUGAAGGUCUUUGUUUUUAUGUGCUGCUAUGCGCUUUCUCGCUUGCCUAUCUCUGUGACUUUAGAUUUCUAUCUUUCUCUCAGUAAGCUUGCUUCAUUUUUCUAAUUGCUAAGCGUUAUACAGCUGGAGCGGUGCCUUUAUAGGAGUCUGAACAUCAAUUUCUUAUCUUUAAAGAUGCUAUUUUGGAUUAGAUCUUCAAGUAGACCAUAAAGAGGAUUGGUUAAGCGAGGAUAGAGGGAAAUUUGAUAGCGCCUUUACCAGAUAAAGAAGGCAGUUCUCUGGGAUUCUUUCUAAAGGAAGUCUCACAUUGUAGUCUUUUUUAUAAAAAAAGGUCUCUGCAUAACGGAAUAGAAAAGCAAAAGAUUGCAGUUUUCAAUUUCACAGCUUUACAUUUGCAUUAAAUGCCAGCUAUGAGCCGGGUUAUAAUAGAAUUGGCCAAAAGAUCGAUUUCAUCCUUCUAACCAACCUCUUCUCCCUUUUGAACUAAUAAGGCAAGCAGCCUUUUGUGGAUUUAUUAAUCCAGAAGAAGAGUCAGCUACUCAAUUGGAUAGACUCACUAUCUAUUGAAUUCUCUCUCUAUCGUCGUUUGCCUCUGUUUCCACAGAAGAAAGAGAAUCUGGAUCUAGUACCAUCUUUGAUUCUGACUUGAAGUUCAUCGCCCACCUGCCCACCUUCCCGUGCUAAAAACGACUGUCAGAAUCAGUCACCAUGACCAAGCAAGCAUAAAAGUCCUGAACCUAUAGUCCGCCCUUGACUUCAAUUAGAACAAUGACUAGUAACUGGAGGACUGUGACAAUGUCUUCCUACUAUCUGUGAUACACUGAAUUUUAGGAUAUUAAGGGUUAUUUAUUUUAUUUUUGUUUUAAAAGAUUGUUUUGUUUUAAAGACUAGAAACCUUAAAUUUUAAUCAAAACCCUAGUUUUACUUGGGACUAAAAGGUUGUUAUUUAAUUGAGUUUAUGUAUGACAAUGCAUGUUUUAUGAUAGGUAAUUAUAAUGGUUGGGUGGUUAGUAGACUAUGAGGUGUAAUUAAGCUUGGUGGAUUACAUUAAGUUGGUGAUCUAUGGAGUUAAUUGCAAAGAUUAGAAGUUGUUGGGGCUAUAGUGUGAGGAUUAGCAAAGUAAGUUUACUAGUAAUCUUAAAGCUUCUAGGAUCUUCCCAAGCUCAAUUUUGAUUGACGGAGAAAAAGUGUACUUUGACUUUGGCUUAAGUUGUUAGUAAAUCAAAGAAAAACAAAGCCAAAAUCUAAGAAGGAAAAAGAGAGAGAGGGCUAAGAGCUUCAAGGGAGGAACAAGAGAGAGUUUCAACUUUGGGUUCUUGAUUUCUUGCUCAAUCUUGCAAACUAACCGAUAGAUUCACCAAAUAAUCCAUAGAAGUUGCUUAGGAAGGUGGAUUGCUAUCUUGGAGUGGAGUGUUUUGGUGGUUCAAGCUUCCUAGGGGUUGUUGUGCUUCUCCAAGUCAAGGUAAAGUUGGUAUUAGUUCAUGGUUGUGUUAUUUAUUGGUUUACAAGUGAAAGUUAUGGCUUGUUUAGGUAAAUUUCAUGAUUUUAGUGGUGGUUAUAGUAAAUUCCAGUUUUAUAGUGUAAUUUUCAGAUUUGGUUGUUGGAAUGGAUGGUUGUUCUUGGUGUUCAUGUUGUAGUAAUGCUUAUACUUAGUUUAUAGAAGUGAAUUCAUGAUUAAAAAUUAUUAGUUUUGUGGCAUAUAAAAUUCGGCCAGCAAGAAGGGUUUGAAUUAGGGUUUUGGUUGAUAAAUUUAUAUGUAAUCUUGUGUAUAUGAUAUAGUUGUAGCUUGUGUUGCGAAAUUGUUGCAAAUUUGGUGACAUUCCACUUGUAGCGGAAAGUUUAGCUCUUAUUCAGAAAAUUCCAGCCUUGAGUUAGGGAUUUGAGUCAAUUAUUGAGUGGUUAGCUUAGCUAAGUAGGUAUACAAAAUGUUACAACUGGAAUGAAUGCUAAAUUGACGUAUGUUCGAUUGCCGCGGAAGUUUUCCGCUUUGGUUUGGUAAUUUCAGCAUUUUGCAUGGGUUGUGAUUGAAGAACUUAGCUUGGUAUUGCUUUAAUGGUAGCUUCGAUAUUGGUUUAUGAUGUGUUUUCUUGAUUUGAUGUAUUUGGUGUGUUGAUUAGUACAAGUUAGUCAUGAGUGAGAAACCAGAAAAUAAAACAGGGUUUGUCAAACUUAUAACUUUGGCUUCAUUUUUUACUUUGAUCCGUAUCAAAUCAGUAGUUGGCCAAAACACAAACAUUUUAGUUCUAUGUUUCAGCUUUCCAACGCAUCUAAAAAUGCCCCAAUCCGAAUUUUGUAGCCUAAGUUAUUGCCAUUUGAAUCUAGUUCUAACAAACAGGCUGACAAUGAAAUUUUGAUUCUGUAAUCUGCAAUUUCAACCUACAUCAACUGAAAACUGGGUUGGCUUGUUUUCAUGAAAGUUGUAACCCUUUGUUUUAGUUUCGAAAUGCUACCUAGUACACCUUGAUCCAAUAACCACAACUCCAGUUAUGGUCGAAACCGUGCAAUCUGUUUUCAUACCGAUUUCCAUCGCGUGCACCAUUUUCAUUUCCAUGCCCGCACACAUGCAUUUCUUUGCCCUUUUUGCCAUUUUGGCCGUUUUAGUCCUUAUUUCCUUAUGAUGGUUGUUUGACUAAUAGUUGAGUAUAAUCUUCUAUCAUAGGUAGUAACGACUCGGACGGAGUCGGUGGACCCGUAUAAAUUGUCUUGAUUUGCAUGCUAACUAUUUUGGGUGAGUAAUUGGAUUUGUUUAUAUAAUAAAUUGUCAAAAUGCUUUGUAUAUGUUAAAUGAAUACUUAGGCGAGGGUGUACUUUAUCUCACUCGACCUAAGGUCAUUCUCUGUUCUUGAUUUAAUAUGUGAGGAUACAUGCCUUGUGUUGAAGUGAACCCCUUGUGCUGUAUGUUGUUGGGGUGAUUACAUGACUUGAGUAUUUUGUUGAGUACUUUGUUGAGAGAUUGGAUAUCUCAGGGCUUGGUUCCAACCCAGUUCCAAAGGUAGGCAGACUAUUCGAGCCGGUCAGGUUUUGGUCGAAGUCAGUUCUAUGCUAACUUUGGGAUUUUAUUCUUUGUUAAAGCAAAGUGAUUUUGCUUUUGCUUGAGCUGCUGUGCACUGAUGACUGGCUAGCGGGGGUUGAUAAGGUGAAUGGGGAAAGUAAGUGGAAUCUACGAACCAUGAUUAUUUUGGUUGACGGAGUGUUAACAGGUGGUCAAGCUCCGGGAAUUGGACUGGCUUUGAAGCCACUUGUAUCCUACUAUUGUGAUGUUACAUUUCUGUUUAUUGAUGUGAAAUAUCUUGGUUUACAUGUUUAUUUGGAUGUGAUUUUAUGUUUUUACCCCGAUUACUUACUAAGCAUAUAACUUAACCCAUUCUAUUUGUUUUCCUUAGCAGGGGCCGAUGCGGGGAUCGCUCGGGAAGGUGUAUAGUAUAGGUGACUUUUGGUUUAUAGAAUCGUUGAUUUGUGCCCUAGUACUUGUUAUAAGUUGAUUAGUAAGAUGUAUAUAAAUGUUGUGGCGGUUAUAGUUAGUAGCUUCUUUAGGAUUUACUUUCUUGUACUAGUGGUGUGUAUGGCUUGAUGUAGUAGUUUUAUACAAUUUUUGAAGAUGUAAUAGUGUAAAUAGAACUCUCUUUUAGCAUGAAAUCUAUUUUCUCAUUUUUAGGUAUCGAGUCUUGGCGCGAGCUAGGCAGACGAUCCAUUAAACCCUUUGGUACGCCUCUGGGUACAGUGGGGUCGUCACACUAUCAAAGAGGUAAAGUUACGCGACUUCAGUAACCGAGGGGGAGAAAAAAGGCCUAAGCUGACUCUUUUUUUUUAUCGAGAUCAGCUUUGCUGCCUUGAUCAAGCGCAGCCCGAGAGAGAGACGAAAAAGUUCACUAAUGACGAUAGCAAGGCUCGAGCCAAUAGUCUUCCCUUUUCUACAAGGCUUCUUUUUCCUUUCCUGCUAAGGAAUCCUAUGCUCACUAAUUUAGAUAUCCACAUUUGUAUCAACUUGCCAGAUUAUUGACUUUGCUUAAAGAAUGAGAUAUCAAUCCAACUCAGAGAUAGGCACCUUAAGGAGCGGGGCAGCAGUCCACGAAAGUCAUUUGACUUCCUUCUUUUAUUUGAAUUAGAUACCUUCCAUUGGUCGCAUCCGGUCAAUCAAUAAAAGAGAAGAGAAUAAGAGCAGAUAUGGGCCUCCCUGAAGGUCCUCAAGCUUGUGGCAAUAAGUUGAGUGAGCUACCUACAUGUUAGGGCCACUUACUAAUUUAUUGAAUUUUAGCCUUCUCUAAAGGAGAAAGUUCAAAUAUGGUAAUAAAGAAACCAAUACACUGAGAAGGGCUUCACACGGCUACUGUUAGCAUAUAAAGAGUAUACAUCACAUGUAUUCUCAUGCUAAUUCUAAUUUCGGAAGGGUUGUCAGGUGCUGUUCUUUCCCUCUGUCUUACAUGUUACUUAAGACUGGAGGUAAUGGUAAACUAUAUGGUCUGUGGCCACAGGAUCCUAUUUAAGUGGUGCCUAGAAAGAUUAAUGUAUUCGCAAUGGUCUUCCAAGGAUCCUAAUUUACUUGAAUCGCAUGAGUGAUUGGUCAUCUGGGCUAUUAUUGGACUAGGAGAUGCCACGCAAGGUGCAGGAACUACGAUUCUUCGUCAGAUUAGUCAUACUUAUAAAUCUUUAUUUAUAUAUAAUAAUCUAUAUAGGACUAUGGGCAGUUCAUCGAGGGCUUCUCGGGUCGGGUGAUCGGAAGCUUAAGCUGCUUUUGCCUUACCUUCUGGGCGAAUGAGGGGCGUGUGCAAUAGUUUUCUUUCUUUCUCUUGCUUGAUCACUUCAUCCUAUAAUUUGAGAGAUAACAGGCUCUUGAAUUCGAGGAUGUGACACAAAUAAUGACUCUCUUUGUGGGGAUGUCCGUAGAUUAGGCAGCUGUAAGGUUUUUUUAUAUUCGGUAGAAGGCAGGCUGAAACUCUGCCCCAACCAAGUGAAACUAAGGGUCUGAAAGAGUUCACGAUCUGAUCUAUGGAGUGUUAACCCUACCCCCGGAGGACUACGCUACAAUUUUUCUUCUCUUAUUCCAUUUCUAACCAAAAGAAACUUACUAUAUAAUAUAGAGCAACCCAUUUUCAAGUCUUGGAGGAAGCACAUGGCAUGGACAGCAUGGUAAGUAGGACAGCCAAUCCUUAAGAAAGCUAUCUCACCAGGUAAAACAGGGUAGCGAAACUAGGAACGGAGUAUUGGCUUGUUAGAGCUAGGCUGAUGAGUUAAAGUAAGCGAGCUAGUCAUACGAGCUAGUGAGCUAGGCAGCUUGCUGUAGUUGCUACGGUAAACUGGAGUGAAAGGGCAGUAGAGAUGGAGGACUAAAGAUUCCUCAGAGGUGAAGACAACCAGAGGAUAUAUUCCCAGAUUCUUUCGUUCCAGGGAUUGGGAUCUGAGUCAAAGACAUCAAUCAAAGAAAUUUUGUAUAGUUAUGUCAGAAAAUGCAUUCCUUUCUCUUCCUAGAAAGCUUUCAAAUUCAUUCCUCUGGCUUUGCUUCUUUUCAGUUCCUUGGUCAUGAGACCUUUUUUCGCCUUGUAGCUCGCUAUCUUAUUUGCAGCAACCUUCUCAAUGCUGAGAGUAUUCGAGCACUAGAUAUGGACUACAUUUUGAACACCGAGUAGGAUCAAAGAAACUAGCGGACUGAUCACUAAAUAGAUAGAAAUAGGAGCAAAUUCUGACAUCACCACAGCCCACUUGGUUCUCUCGCUCCUUGCUCUCGGAGCAGCAUACCGAAAAAAAAAGAAAUAGGAUUUCUACUUUACAAAAUAUUUCUAGCUGAUACGGGAUCAGUAACAGAAUGUAAAAUGUCUAAGACUUGAUGAAAAUAGUCACUACCAUAGCCAUACAUGGUCAGGUCUUUCAAAAUCUCACACAAACACACGAGAUCCCACGUUGGUUCCCCAAUUAUAUCCCUCACCAAUUGACUAUAUAUCCAAGUUUCUGGACAAGAAAAAUUAUAAUCAGUCAUUAAUUUCUCGAUGCUUUUCGAAAUAGCAUCGAGAAAUUUAUUGGACGCAAAAGAAGAAAGUGUGAUGGGCGGAUUUUCUGGUUGACCUAUAUUUAGACCUACAGGAUCACUUAAAUUAUUAACACCAAUAAGCAGAUUUACCAAAUUAUCCAGAACGAUAUGUUGUUCUUGUUCCGAAAUACCAGCGGAUAAUCUUUGAAUUGUAUCCAUAAGAAUGAGUUUAUUGUCCAUGUUGGAACAUAAGUCUCAGUUGUCUGUAAACCCCCCCUUCACCCCUACCCCCUACACUAAAGUAGUAGAGAAGGGCUCUUUGGGGUCUAAUUUUCUUUCUAUCUGACAGGACAGAAGGGAUGGUUCUUUCAUUGUAUUGAUAGAAGUCUAAGAUCUAUCUAUUACUUUGAGAAAAGAAUCGUUGGUUUGCCCGACGAAUUACGUGGGAAAUAUGAGUUGAGAGGGCAAGAGGAUUCGAUCUCCACAAAAGGCUAAAGAAACAUAAAAAAAGUUAAUCAUCUUUCUUUUAUACGCAAUUUCAAAAAAAAUACAUAUAGAGAGGUGCAAAGGACAGAUAUGCCAAUUUGGGAUAAGAAGAUAAAUAUUUCCUCUAUCAAUGAAUUUGAAAUAAGCUAAUAAGCUAUUUCUCGAUUCGCCGCAUUUCUAUCUCUGACUAUCAAAAAGAAGACAAGCUUUCCAUUUAGGGUGUUCACUUACUCGAUUCAAGAGCGACUACCAGACAAAGAAGAAGAUUUAAUCUUUCUAUCCGAUAUGAAUACAUUGAAUUCGAGAUGCAAAUGAAUUGAAUAGGAAUUAACCCACGGAGUGGUGGACAAAUUCAUAGCUGCCGCUUUCAUACAGCUACUUGUGUUAUUUUCGAAUCAAGAUUUAGACUAGUUAUAGUAGGGAUAAUCUUACCAGUGCUAACGGCCACCAGAAUAGCUACAAGCAAAACCAAACCCAUUUUUAAUACGAAACUAAUUGAUCUAUACCAUACAUACUGAGUAAUUCAAGUUCUCUUUCUUAGACCGACAACUCGUAUCUCGAAGACACAAGACAAGUCCCGAUCCUCUUACGUUGAAGUGUGGUGAGGUUUUGCCUCACAGAAACAGAAGGAGUGGGAAAUUGGGGAAAAAGCUGAAACGGAUUCGACCAGUACAAUACUGAGUCUUAUUGAGGCCAUGAAGACGGACAGCACUUGGUUUACAGCUGACCAACGAAAAAAGACUCCAAUUCUUUCUGUUGGUCAACAACCAACCAGUGAUUUCAAUAGCAGUUUAUUCGUUCCCUCAAUCCUCUGAUGUAAACCUAAGACUAGUGAAAGAAAAUAAGUUACUUGUUCCCCUCUCUUUCUUCAUUCAAUAUCUGUCUAGCCUACUAACGACAUCCUUUUUUAUCUACGCUAUUUACCCUUCAUUACUUCCCCAACUUUGAUUUAAGUUCCUUGAUCUUUUCUCCUAGUGGUACCAUCUCUACUUUUUCUCCUUUCCAUCUACUAAGUUUGCGGAAAAGAGAGAGCAGACGGUUCUCGGCAUCAUGAUGCAAGAAUGACAUCUGAGAUCGCUUAUUCCAUUGCUUUACAGUCAUGAUAUGAUAGAAAUGAUUCUAUUUAUUAGAGAGAGACAACACCUAUUUUUAGCAUCGAAGAGGGAAUUUUGUGUAGACUGCUUUUUGAAAGUGAAAUAGAGACUUUCACUAAAGAGUGAGAUUGAGGAGUGAAAGAAUCCAGUAUUCACAUAAGAAAGUGGUAGUAGUCCUUUCCUAUAUAAGAGAAAGGCUGUUCUUACCUGGGGACGUCUGCCUAAGAACCGGCUUUUGAGAGGUCUUUCUUUGCCUCUUUUCUGGACGGCUUACUGCUCCGUAGGCAUCUUAUGAGUUAUUUUUAGUCUAGUUUGUUUUGCCCAAAUUAAAGAGUUCUUUUUCUUAUUACAGGUGUAACCAGAACCACCGAUUAAACAAGCAUUCCCGAGUUCAUUAGAAGUUAACUCCUUCGCCCGGACCUUUAAAAGUGGGAUGCUAUAUAAAAGAAAUACCACAAAACUGAGCAAUAAGUCUAUCCGAUCGUGUUGACGCCAACGACCUUCUUAGGAGCUUCUCCCCACCGAAGAAACAAGAGUUGAGUUCGGGAGUUCGAGUCUUUCCUUUUCUUAGGAGUUCCAGAUGAAGGAAGUAUGGUAAUUUUCAAUUAAUCUUCCCUUCAAUCAAGACGACCAGUUGGAGAGGAAUAAGCGGUUUGUAGGCUUCCCGCUCCCAUAGAUCUUCCUUUCUCUUCUUAAUGACCUAAUGCAAUUGACCGUACUGACGGGAAUGACGGUCACUGGCAGCACCAAAGCGAGCACCAAUGGAAAUGAAGAAUUUGAAUAGCUUUUCGUUCCUUUUUUGGGGUUAAACUCAUAAGACAAAAGAACUCCAUAUGAACUCGGAGGGAGAAAUUCAUUCUUUUAAGACGCAAAGAUGGGUGUCACCAAUCUCUUAUCGGAUUUCACCAACCUUAAAGAAUUGAGUUUGAUUUACGUAAGUACAUAUAAAGCACUAAAGAAGCUCCUUCUCCUCCUCUUGUUGUUGUUUUGACUUUGUCUUAUUAGACAAGUGGUAACCUAAGCAAGAGAGAUUGUACUUUAAUUCCUCUACUGGCUUUCAACCCUUGGACGGCUAUCCUUGGCAUGCGUGCUACUGGCCUACCUACUGAACUCCUACUAUCCUGCUACCAAGCAUUCUCUCUUUACUCGCCUAAGGAUGCACUAAGAAAGAUUGCUACAAUGACAAAAGGAAAGAGAAUACACAACGAAGGCAGAAGCAAGAAUCGAAUUCACACUAACCCGUCAAUUUGGGUUCCAAUUCGAGAUUUUUCUUGGGAGGUAUCGUGAAAGAAUUGGAAAAGACUGCCAUCUUUGUGGGCCGCCUAUUGAUCGAACGCAAAUCCACAGGAUUACGGGAUGACAGUUAUUGGUUGAGGUCAAGUAAAUAUGAUUACAUACCUUCUGUUUGACCUUUCUUGGUCUGGUGUGACUAUUCCUCAUUCUUGUCUUAUGAAAAAGCCAGAAUCAAUCAUUCGCGAUGAGUAUAAAAAAAGUCUUUUUUAGUGAUGCUUGAAAGACGGCUUCGAGAAAGGGCUUUUUUCAGUAAAGUUCAGCCUUUCCGCUAUCAAAACAAUUCACUCCAGAUGGGUGCUGAAUACGCUUUCACGAUAGGUAGUGGUGGAGCUUGCGUAAUGUAAUUGUAAUUAAGGCUGCAAUUCAGUCUUUCUUUUUCUUCCUGCAAAGCGAAAAAUUCUCAGAUUCUUACUCUUUCUCCUUUGGAUCGGAUUCAGCUCCAGACCUUGGUACGUUGAGGUUAAGAUUUUCCUGGGUUUCCUCUUGAAUUGAAACGGCGCAGCUCCCAUAUUACAUCGUACUCACUGACACUACACUCACCAACAGGGGAGACUCCUACCGUUCGUCAAUCUACUACCAAACUGAGAUACAGAAACACUUCGCUAAAGAUUCACCUGGGACUGAGAUACGUACAUGGGUAGGAGUUCACUAACCACUGUUUGCAUGAGUAAUAAACAAGAAUUUCGAAAUCAAUUACAGUUGGCCUUAUUCCCUGCCUUGACAUUGACCGCUAUACCUAACAAGGCAAGGCAAGGGGGAACGGUAAAUAAGUAGGAUAGAUAGUUACUCGACUCUGGCCUUGAAACAAUGACCUGGCAGAAGUACUCAAAGGUGAUAGACGUCCUACACGCCUAAUGUCAAGUUAAAGUGUUUGGUUUGAUAGAACCAAGUAGUAGUUAGUCGGAAAAGAAGAGAAAGAGACUCCAACAGACUCAGGCAAUACCAUUAAGACAGAAAGGGAGAACCGACCAGGGUUGGAAGAUUGCCCCACCACUUCAGUUCUCAUAGAAGGAGAAGCUGUGAGCUAAUAAGAAGAAGGCUCGCAAAUCUUUAUCCCUUGCUCUAAAAUGCCUUCCCCCGAGAAUGAAAUUGGAGAGGGAAGGCCCCGCUCCCCGAAUAGACGGAUUUCAUGAUGGCCCGGGUGGGAAAUUUCCAAUUUAGAUGGAUCUUCUUCUUUAUGGAUAGAGGUUAGCUUUGCUAGUUGUAACCGAUGCCACAAAGGUUUAAAACGAAGAUUCAUUGAUGCCUUUACGUGAGUCAGUCUGGCGAUUUCCUUUCUUCCUUUAAACUAGCCUAUCAUAUGAGGUGGAUCAAAUGGUUCCUUUCUAACUUCCUAUGUUAAGAGGUUCCUUUAAAGUAGAAACUUGGUGUUGACCCAUUCACCUCCUGAACUUACCGUCUAGCCGGAGUAAACUACCUAUGCUCCUACUGCACGUAGGCUGCUAAACUUGCGCAACAAAAGCUGAUAUUCAAGUUAAUUAUAAAAUGUGGUUAGAUAUCAAAUCGAUAUUAGUUUUUAUUAGAAUUAUAUAAGAGAGAGAUGUAGGCUUAGUCAAAAGUGUAAAGCCAAACUCUAUCUCUAAAAGCGUACUCAAGCUUCGAUUGUUGUGUUUAGUCGCUCUUGUGAGAGAUAGGGCUAGUACGGACCCAAUGGUGCUUUCACGAAAGUACGGGCAAUGACGUCGGUCAACCAUUUCCUGAACGAUGAGCUUCUAAACGAACGACUGACUAUCGGGCAUAGGCAAGAUGGUCACCUAAUGGCUUUUGUAAGCUCGCAGUGAAGUUAGGCAGUAAGAGUAACAUUAAGUACGGUCUUAAGUCAGUUAGUUCCCCAAGCCAACAAUGAAAGGGUGGAGUGAGCCUAGCACCUGACCCUUCUAUUCCUUCGGUCUAAUCCCCCGCGACUUGCCAUUGAAAGGGAAUGCCAAUGAGGGAGUGACUCAGGGCUCAGUUAGCGCUUAGGGUUCUAGGCUAAAUUAAGAUGGUCUGUAAGUUCAUACUUCAAAGGGAGAAAAUACACCUCCAAUCAAGGUACAACCUUUAGGGAUAACAUGAAGCCAAAAGUAGGAUAGUCUAAGGAACUGUCUUGAAGUCAUUUGAGGCCUAAUAUAAUAGAUGCUCUUCCUGUAGUUGCUUUUCUAAUCUGUCUAUUCCUUUUGGCAAGGGUCCAUAUUUGGAAUCUUACCUAUUGCAUUGCUUCUUUCCUCUAAUUCAAUAGUACGAUCCCUGACCACCCAGUGUUCAAUUCCAAUUUAUGAUUACAUACCUCAUGAACCUAUAUAUUGUAGACAAGACACCCCUAUGGUAGGAAACGAAGAUUAGUUCAAGGUAAUCCACUGGCUUGCUCGAUUCCCUUUGUUUCUUCGGCUUUUGCCCCAUGCCGCAUAAGGUCUGGUCUAUCCUCUGUAUGUCAAUCUCACGUUUGUCUAUCAUGAAAGGGACCCUUUUCUCCUUGGAGAGGUAAGCUCUAUAUUCACAAUGAAGGGCGCCUACAAUGGUAGAAAGAUCAUCGUUUCCUUUCCUUUAAGCGUCUCAUCCCGAAUCUUGGUGUGGUAAAGUAAUCGAUAGACUCAUCUGGUCACUCCCCUAAAGAUUGCAAGUUCGAAUCCUAUCCGUACUUCAUGAAAACUACAUUUUUAAUAUGGCCGUCAUUUGUCAAGAUAUGGACUCCCCACUCUGAACACCAGCGGACUAUUACUGGUACCUGUUCACCGAUAAUGAAAAUAAGGAUGGGCAGGAAUAUGCGGAAUACAUCCCAACUAGACCUCUUAGAGCACCGGGGAUCACCAAAAUACGUUCCAGCAACGCCACCGUCUGAACUAUGAAGCUCCCCGAAGUACAUUCCAGCUGUUUGGCACAGGAAUCGGGACGUAUUCCAGAUAGUCCCAAUCGUAGCAAAUGUAAUGCGUAAAAGAGUAAGGGGGACCCAUAGUCUUACCAAAACAUGUCGGUUGACGACAUAAUGCCAUGCGCAUGGUGGAAGAAAGGCUAUGUCUCAAAGCUAAACCAUUGCAGCAAGGGAUUUUUCUUAGUAAGAGGUGCUCUUUCAUUCAGUAGCUGCAAAAAAAUCUUUUUUUUAUUAAAUAAAGUGGAAAAAAAAUUACAUCUCAAUGAGCUCAUAAGAAGUAGCUUCAACUGCCUUUCCAAUGGGUUACCCCCGGCUACUAGCAUCUCUUGAUUGAGGAAUAAAGACUAUGCCAACCCGAUCGUCAGCAUCAACAUCAAAGCCGAAAUUUGGGAUUGAAAGCACCUACUAUUCAAGUUUCAUCCAAGGGAAAUUCAAAUAACAAUAGAAUAGGCCUUCCACCUCGAAUCUAUCUCUUCGACCUGUAGUAGUUUGAAUCUUCAAUGGCUGUUCAUUGCAUGAACGAGCAAAGAGAGCAAAUAUGGUUCUUCAGUCGAGCUUAAUGCUACCACCGAAUAAUUCCUUCUUUCUUUGCCCUUCGGGAACAUCCUCACAUUCUAUAGUUAAGCUUACUAACUGCCGUAGCUUUUAGGUUCCAUGCAGUUUUGCUAGCUAGCCCCUAAAAAAUAGAUAUACUUUUAGAACUCCACGUGCUUUACCCCGGAAACUUUUGGACUUUAAUCGGCUUUGAGGAUAUACCUUUCAGUAGUGGCUCUAUCUGUAUUCAGCCAUUUAGAAAGAAAUAGAAAGAUAGCUUUCGUGCUCCAAUGGUGAAAGAGAAGGAUAAGAUAGAUCCGAAUAGUGACAGAUAUAGAAUUUUAUUCAAGUUAGCCCCCCUUGUUGCUCUGUUCUCUCUCUAUACCACGAUGAAUAAAAGAGAGUCCUAUACCUAGGAAACAACUAGUGCGCUAUCCUCCUCUAUCUUAGACUAUAUGCCUUCGCUUUGUACUUCUACUAACUCAAUUGGGAGUAAACCUGGAAGUACACCUUUGGUUAACUAAGGCUAAGAUCCCACUUGCCACUAAGCUUUAGGGAAGUCAACUUUAGAUAAUCCCAGGGCUAAUGUCCUUGAAUCGAAGAGCGAUACUCUUUUAAUUAUUUCUUACUUGGAAGUAACAAACAUGAGGCAAUGAAAAAGACUCUUGUAUUAAGAUUUCCAAGGUUUAGCCAAGGCUUAGCUCAGGACCCCACCUCUUCUUCGUUUUGCUUUUCUAUCCAAGGCUCUUUCGGAGCAGAAUGAAUUCCACUUUUCCAAGGCCUCUUUCCUACGAAGCCUUGGUAAGUAGUGUCCUACCAAAAACCUCUCAAUCAAGUCUUCACACCCCUAUAAAACCCAUUUUCCUAAAUCUAUACCUUUAAAAAAUAGGGCAUCUUCUUAUUUUUUUUCGUCUUCUAGUUCAAACCUCUUCUGAUGGGUAGGUUCCUAUCCUUUAUCUAUUAGUAAAUAGUAAAUGGAUGAAAUUCACUCGUCAGAAUCCAUAUACGAAACUACGUAAAAUAAGGCCAUGGUCGCUGCAUCUGAAAUCAUUCGUUCACCCGAAAGCCCUCUCUCUACGCUAAAAUGCUAAAUCAUUUGGGCUCUUUCACAUAGGAAUUUUAGUAAAAAGUUCCUUAUCGGUUUCGCAUGCCAAUUGGCAACUGCUCUAUUUCGUAUCAUCCCACCCAAACCUAUACGCUAUUUCACCAACGAUCAUUUCAUUUCUGAGCAAACGGGAUCCUGACCAUACACAAAAAUAGAAUGACCUAUAUGGCAAGGCUUUUCCAAGCCAUUUUGGGGCAAGCGGAUCAUUUAUGAUGAAGAGGAUGAGCUUCUCAUUCUUGAAAAUCCACACUUUUCCAAACCCAGAAGACAGACGGAAUCCUAGGAUUCCUCCUUGAGACAAAUACUUUUAUGCAUACCUCUUUUGGUUGAUCCACACCAUACUCUAUUCUCGUAAAAUGAUAUACACUAGCUAAGAGCCCGCCGAGUGCUACAUCAUAGGCACAUUGGGAACGGAGCCCGACAUUCCCUACUUGUCCGUAAUCGCAGUAGCUAACCGACAACGUAUCCUUAAAAACUAGCUUAAUCUUACUGGUCUAUAAAAGAUAGGGGAGUAUCCCACUCAUCAACAGAUCCAAAUGAGGGGGAGGAAAGUGAAGAAGAAAAAGGAUAAUUCAAAGAAUGCCUAUUCAUCUAACGCUAGAAAGGGCUCAUGGCUUUUCCUAAUGAUACCUGUCUAUCUUUCGGUGUACUAUGAUUGAGCUCUGAGACAGCUUCAUCUUAUAGGGAAAGAAUAGUUUAUAGUGAUGGUUCGUUGAUUGAGGUUUAGUAAGGUCAGUAGUUCCAUCGACAGAGGACUGAAGUCCAGUGGUGAGAUUACGAGAAGGAGGGUGUGAAGAAAGAACUUCCGAUAAUGAAAGGAAAGCCCUUUUAGUAGUUGAUGAAACUAUAGCACGAAAAGCUACCUCCUCUUCCUUGAGGAGCACAAUAGAGCGAACAUUUUCCAUGUGAGAGAAAGAGUUCACGCUUUUGGUUUUUUUCCUUUAGGCUGCUUUUGCCUUGUGAAAUAUCGGGACCAGAAAAAAAACCCGUGCUCAAAAUAUUAAUAGGAAUAUAAGGUUAACAGCCGACCGUUCCACCACUGAGCUACUGAGGAACAAUGGGAGAUUAGAUCUCAUCGAGUUCAAUUCUUGUUCUCAACCCCUACCUUUGAGUGCAGUUUGAACUAUUGAUUUACGUAAUUGGAAGUAACCAAUUAGGUUUACGACGAAACCUAGAAAUCGAUCACUGAUCCAAUUUAAGUACCUCUACAGGAUAGACGUCAACAGAAAGCUGAAGAGUAAUGGCAGCAAGUGAUUGAGUUCAGUAGUUCCUCAUAUAAAAUUAUUGACUCUAGAGGAAUAGUAAUAUGGAGAAGACAAAAUUGUUUCAAACACCGACAGAACCGGAAGCACCCCUUCUUUCAAAGAGAGGAGGACGGAGUAUUCACAUUUCAAAUAACAUGCAUUGGAACACUCACCAAUCAAUUGCAACCAUUCACUUUAACCCUGGUUCAUCCUCUUGAACUCUCUCGAGUCCUAUGGUCAUAUACUAUAUUAAAAGACUAGCAAUACAAAGCCAAAAUACAUGAAGAAAUUGAGGUUUCAAAAUGUCAUUUAGAAAAUGCAUCAAUUUACAAGUUUUAUUCCCGUAUAACCUAUUAAAAUAUAAUAUUUUCUUGUUGCAAUUGAGGAGAAACCUCAUGUGUUUACUAAAUCAACGUUACAAAAGUCAUUUGGAGCACAAGAGCAUCGAUUAUAGUCAAACGUUUGAAGAAAUUAGAACAAGACUUUCAAAAUACAAAGUUGAAAAUUGUUAGACCUAAAAUGAUUUGAAGAAACUCAUUUCCUUUCAUUUAAACCUCAAUUUCACUCAUAAAACCAAGAUCAAAAUGGUUGAAUAACUCCAACUUAAAGUUGAAAAUGGAAGCAAGAACAAGUUUAGAAAACAGAAUUUUCUCUAGUUUUGCGCGACACCGUUUGAAAAUUGUAUCGCAAGCUUCUUAGAAGACAUAUUUCCCAGAAGACAUAUUUGCAAGAUUCUAUCCAUAAAUCAGUCAAAUUCCAGUGUCGAGUUGCUACUUCAUCAAGUACAAAAACAAAGUAAGCGUGAAAAUUCAGUUAAAUUUGAAAAAUCAUAGAUAUUUAUAGGAAUUGAUAAAAAUUCUGAAAUUUUCAUGGUAUAAAGUAUUUUGAAUCUAGUUUCAAAUGCAACAAAUGGAACUCAAUUUGAAUUUUUUUACACCAAAAUAUAACAGAUUUUCCAAGACUGCUCAGAGCCUCCUGCGAAACAAAAUUUUCAGCAACACUUAACUCAACCUUCCCACUUAAGCUCAUGAUUUUGGUUCAAAUCCAACUCACAAUCAAAGUUUAAUGUCCAACAUAAUUUGUGGAGCAAGAUUUCCCCCAAAAUUUCUUGAAAAUAAGGGCUAAUAGCACUCAAAAGUUUCGGCCGUCAAGAAAUUUUCAAAAUAGAAUUUUUUCACUAAAAUUUGCAGCAAAAUCCAACCAAGAUUCAAGCUUUCCAAGAAAUAUAUACACAAGCUACAACAUCAAGCUUUAAAACACCAAAAUCUACCAUAAACAUUCAUCAUAAAUGUGAGGACCCGAAAAUUUUCUUAUUUUAUCUUAUUUUAUUGGCUUAUUUACUUAAUUAUUCAACCAUCUUCUCCGAAUAAUUUAUUUCAAUCAUUUUAAAUUCAUUUAUAUGGAAUGAGGUCUCACUUAUAUUUUAAAAAGUCCCGUUAGCAAAUUUAAUUUUUCGGAGACUCGUUUAGUAAGAAAUAGCGAAUACACGUUUUUUGAGGCAAUAUUCGAUCCGAGAGUGCAAUGAUCUUGGAGAUUUGAGGACUCCUAUUUUUAUUCUUAAUUUAGUUAUUUUAUAAGUUAUUUGCCCUAGAGUUAGUUAAUUAUAUUUUAGUUGCAUGAAUUACUCUUAAAUUUCGUUUUAUCGCGCGCGUCGAAAGUUCUUGUAAGUCGUGUCGGUAUGACUAAUUGGAGAUUUGAAGUUUUAAUAUUAGACUCGUAAGUAUGAGUAAUUAAAGUGUUAGAGGAGUUACCUCGAAGGUUUAGUGUACAAGUGCAACAAACAAGAGAGAAAAGUGGUAAUGCACGUCACUAUUCGCGACUAUUUGAGAGUUGACUUUUGCACACCUUUAACUUAGCUUGUUCAACACAAUUCUUCCACAAAUUUUAGACCCAAGAAACUCCCCUCACCUCACUCUUUCAGCCAACCAAGAAAGAAAAGAAACAAGAAGAGAAAGCUCCAAACUUUUGCUUCCAUUUCACUUGAAAAUCCUCACCCAACUCACAAAACCUUUGGAGAUUAGUUCUAGUUUGGAGAAAGACAACAUCUUGUGGAUUUUCUUGGGGUAAUUUCGGUGGAGAAAUCUGAUUUUUCAUCUAGGGUUAGAGGUAACCCUUUAACUCUUCUAAUCUUUCCAUGUUCUUUAAGAAUCAUGGUUAGUUUCGCAUGGGUUUACAACCCUAAGCAAGAAAUAGGUUAGAGGACUUGAGAAAAAUCAUUUAUCUUGCUUUAAUCUCUAGGCUAGCAGUCUUGAGGUGGAUUAUAGGUAGCUGACUUGAGGUGUAAUUAUUUGAUUAUGGUUGUUUAUAUGUUGUAUGAGAUGAUUACGGUUAGAAAGUGGAGAGAAAGUUGGAAAACUUGUCGAGAGUAAGCUGGCCGAAUUUCUGGCCAUGUUGUUCUGUAUUAUUUUUGAAAUUUUGAUGCUUGGUUGACUGUGAAAUUGAUGGAUAUAUGUUGUAUAUUGUGUGUACAAAGUGCCUUUCGAAAAUCAUUUUAUUUGGUUGCACAAAACUAGAGUUUUCAAAAUUGGAAGAAAUCUGGAAAUGGUGAUCAGGGCAGCUUAACAGUAAUCCUUUGUUCGAACAUAUCUCUUUAUACAAAAGUCAAAAUUGAGUGCUAUUUGUGGCAUUUAAAACUAUACAUUCAUAGCUUUCUAACGGUAUAAAAAUCACUUGCUAAUUCAUCUUGAGUCAACCGUAGUGAUUCGGCAAAUUUGGCUGUCCUGUUGUGACUGUCUAUCCGAGAGAAACUGAGAUGCUGCAUUUUGUGGCUCGAAGUUCUCUCAGUUGUAAAAAAUUUUUACAAUGAUUCCUUCUGAUGAAUUCUGGCAUUUUGAAUCUAGUUUCCAACGCCAUAAACCAUUCUUAAUUUGAGUUUGUAUUGAGUGAGAUGUGGUCUGAUUUCGAAAGUGCAACAAGGUUGAAAACUAGAAAGUUUUUCCCUUCUUGCUGACCGAAUAGUCAGGUUUAUUUUGGGAUGUGUUGUUUCGAAAAUUUUGAUGUCAAUUACCCAUCAAUUGCUCAUUAAAUGUUUCUGAAACCUUUGUCUCAAAAAUGGAGUGAGUUGGGGCUGAUUUCAUUGCACCAAACUUUUGAAAAGAAAGAAAGGGUCGAGUUGGCAAAUUAGCUUUGAAAAUUUCCCAAACUUUGGUCAUUUUAUUAACUGUCUUCCCGUAUGAUUUUUUACCUGAAUUUUGAUAGAGAAGUCGUCCAUAUAUGGAAGUUUAAGUAUACCAAAUUUGGUGUAAUUUCAAUACCAUUUCGAUACUCAAAUAGUGCCCCAAAGAUUGCUCUUCAAAUAGGGGUGUGCAAAAUCGAAAAAUUCCGAUUUACCGACUGAAUUCGAAUUCAGUAAUUCGGAAUGAAAAUCGAAAUUUCGAUUUCGAAUUCGUCGAAUUCGGUAACGAGAUUUUUCAAAUCGGAAAUUCUGAUUUCGAAUUCACAACUCGAAAUCGAAAUCAGAAUUUCUAUUUCGAUUUCAAAUAUGUAUUUCAUAUAUAUAUAUACAAUAUAUAAUAUAACAUUUAUAUUAUAAUAAUAAUUUUUAUAUUCAUAAAUUCGGUGAAAUCGGAAUUCCUAUUUCGAUUUCAAUUUUCUUUUUCACACAUAUAUAUAUAAUAUUUUUUAUAUAUAUGUAAUAUAAUAUUUAUAUAAUAAUAAUAAUAAUUUUUAUAUUCAUGAAUUCGGUGAAAUCGGAAUUUAUCAAAUUUCGAAUUGAAUUCGGAACGAAUUCGAAUUCGAAAUUGGUGAAUUCGAAAUCGAAAUCGAUCGAAAAUUCUGAUACCAAAAUUCCAAAAAAUUCCGAUUUCAAAGUUCCAAAUUACCGAUUUCGAUUUCGAUUCACACCCCUAUCUUCAAAUCUGGAAAUUUACUGAACAGGCCGUGAAAAUGAACCAAAUUUAAACUGUUAUAUAUUGAUGUUCAAGACUCCAAAUUUAGUUCCGUUUGUUGUAUUUGAAACUUUGUAUGGAACUCUCAUUGUGUUACAAAUUUCAAAGGCUGAUUCACUUUCUGUGAAUUUUGCCGAAUUUCCAAACAUCGCUGAAAACCAAGACUGGUUCUGUCUUACCUUCUUGAAUUAGCAACUUUGAACUGAAAAAUGAAUGCUUUUGGUUUGGAAUCUUGGAAAAGUGUCUUCUAGAAACUUUUAGUGUCCUGAAUCUAGUUUCCAACGAUAUAAAGUUUUCUAUUUUUGAACAUACUAAACUCAAGAUCUGAUUUUCCAAAGAUCGUCACACAAAGCUGAAAAUUUCUAAUUCCAUGGGAAAAGGACUUUUGAGAACUUUUCACUUUCUUCGAUAUUGAUGGAUCAUUUUGAACUUGGUUUCAUGAAUGUUACAAGUUUCUCUUGUUACUUUAAUUCCUUACUUUUCAAUCUCGAUUUUUGAGGAAAUUAAAGCUCUUCUAAGACAUUGUCUUAAAUUUUUAAGUGAGUAUACUUUCUUCCUUGUAUGUUACGUGGUCGUGAGUAUAUGUGAGUGAUGUUUAGUCACUAUUUCUUCAGAUGCUCAAGGAGAUUUCGAAGGGAAUCUUGAUGCAGACACCUAAAGUUUUGUUUACUCACUUAUUUUGAAUCGGCGAGUGUCUAGUGUUUGAUUCGUUGUUAAACAUGUGAAUUGCUUCUUGCCAAUUAUAUGAUUUGGAAUCGUCGAGACAAGUGUGUACUUUAUCGCACUCGUUCUCUUUCACAUGAAAUUAUAUUCGAAUUUUGCUAUGUGAAUCGAUAUUCGACUCGUGAAAAGUGUUGUGGUUGUGAUUCGCAUUUGUAAUUCGUAUUUGAAAUCGUCGAUUGGAGCAUUGUCUCAUCGACUUAUAUUCAUAUUUGACUUAUAUAAGUAUUCGGGGGACGCCCAAAUUCACAGGCUAACCUUGUGACUCGAGCCGGUAUACGCUUGGUCGAGAAGUUUGGUGAACUAUGAGAUAUUUGUAAAGCUUGAUCUAUUUGAGAAAUCUCGCUUGGCAUACUCGAGUAAUAUCGCCUUUUAAAAUGAUGAGCGGGCUCGAAAUAGAGGGUAUAAUGAUGAACGGGAUUUGUGAAGUAAAGUGGUGUUCUAUGGACUAAAUAUACCUACCCGGUUGAUGGAGUGUCAUCACGUAGAGAUAUGCGAUCGAAACUCGGCAAAGCAAGUGGAACCUAUCUCCUGAGAGCUCCUGUAUCCUUAUUGAGUGUGUUUUAUUUCAAAUUGUGAAUUACUUGAAUGUUAUAACUUUAUUUCUCGUAUAAGUGCUAUUGUUAUUUGAACUAUGUGUUUGCAUGUUUUUCUUGGCCUCACUGAGCGUUUCACUCACCCCAUUAGUUUUGUUUUCCUUAACAGGAGCUGAAAUGGAAAGAAUUAUGGAGAGGCCGACUGGAUGGCCCUUUUGAUUAGAAGUUUGGAUGUAAUUGAUGAGACGACUUUUGGAGGUUGUAUAUUUUGAGGAAAGUUGAUGUACUUUUGGUAACUUACGAUGUAAGGUUUGAAUGUUCCAUUAAAGAAGCGACUUUUCUUCACUUCGACUUAUAUUAUUUGGUUAUUUAUCCUUGAGUUUGAAUUGGAUUUGUAUCGAGCCCUGGCGAGAGUUAGGCAGGCGUCCCGCCGAUACCCUUUGGUUCACCUUAAGGAGAAGUGGGGCGUUACAAUAAAAGCACAAGAAUGAAUCUCAAGUCAUCUACCUAGCUUGCCAUAAAAAUAUAAGGAAUUUUCCUCAAGUCAUCUACCUAAACCAAGGUUCCAGCAAAACCCAUCAACAACCCAUCAAAGAUUCAAUUUUUCUAACUACAAGUCUACCAGAAAUUUGAAGAAAAAAGAGGGCUUCAAGGCAAUACCUCUCCUAGCAAUUUCAAUCAAGCAACAAUUCCAAGUUUCCUCCAAGAGUUGCUCCCAAGCAAGACUUUCUUCCAAACUCAAGCAAGAUUCCCAGAAUCAUCCAAAGUUGGGGAAGAUUUGAAGCAAAAAUGGAGGAAAAAAAUUGAGCUUUUCUUCUCUUUUUUUUAGCUCUCGGCCCUCUCUCUCUCCUUUCCUCUUGAUUUUGGUUGUUUUAUUUUUUUUUAAGGCAAGAAAAGAAAGAUUAAAUGAUAAGAAAACUUGGUCAAAGGUCUCCCUUAACUCCCAUGGUAACACUUGUCGCCUUCUAGAGUUCUUUAGCUCCAAGUGUCCCAACAGUUAUCACCUUCUAGAGAUCUCUAGCUCCAAGUGUCCCAAUUCUCUCUCUUAUUGCACUAAAGUCCUCCUUUUUUUUCCAAAGGUUCCUUUUUACGCCCCACUACAAAAGAAAUUUUCAUUUUAUCCCACACAUUAAUUUUCACAUGUAAAAUUUAAUAAAAGCAUUAAGGCAAAAUCAUCAUCAAAUCAAUAAAUAACCAAAUAGAUGACUUAAUAAAUAAAGUACUAUAUGGUUAAACUAGAUAAAUUAGCAAAUUUCUAGGUUCUCACAAAAUUGACUUUUAACAUCUUUUCAUAUGCCAACCAAAACAAUCAAUUCAUUCGGAUUUUAUCCUCAUUUUGUUAGGUCAAAUGUCUCUUGUCAUUUCAGUUAACCAAAUUUUCAAAUUAUUUUUCAAUCGAAUUUCAGUAAAUUGAUCGGAUCCAUCAAGUAUUAUUGUAUGGUGCCUACACUAGAGAAUUGCAUUUUACAUAUUAGGCCAACUUUUAGCAUAAAAAGGCUCUCCCAUAAGACAUGCAUACCGAUUUUACAAUUUUACUUAUUAAUUCUGGGUAUUUUUCUUUUCUUUUUUCCCCUCCUUUGCAUUUAUAAAAGAUGUUUCAAUAAGGUAAAAUAUUUUUUCUAUAUCUGAUAACAAUUUUGGUUUGAUAAAUUUUAAAAAUUACAAAUAUUAUUUGAUUUUUGGACAGAUCCUGCAAUGUAAAAAUAUGAAGAAUCCAACUAAAAGCGCUAGUCUAAAGCGUCUAAGAGAUUUCAUGAUAUAGUUGUUCAUUAAAAAAAAAUCUCUUGAUUUGUUGUUUCUAACACAUUUUGUCUUAAAGUAAGAAAAGAGAAAGUAUGUGUACGUAUGAAAGGGAACCCUUUAAAAAAAAUUUCUUUUCUCAUUUGUAUACUAGUUGAGCCAAAAAAAAAUUUUUAAACAUUUGCGAUAAUAAAUUUUUUCAUUUAAACAAUCAUUGUUUUGUAUAAUCAUGUAUAUUUCAUUAUUUAUUUGCUCGUUGGGAGACUUUGUGAUGGACUUUAAGAAAUAAGGCUAAAUUGAAAUUCCUAAUCUCUUGCAUGAAAUUUACAAGUGUGUGUUUAGCUUUCUAAAAUUUUUGCAUGCUCUAGAGAGCGCUCGAAAUCAAAAGAAAUCCCUCAAACUUGUCAAUUUGUCUUGAAAGACUAACCACGAUACUUUUUCUCUUUUAUUUUUGCUAUUUUUUUCAAUGUUAUCAAACCUUCAGAAUCAGUCACCUUGAUUGACACACUUUAAAAUGAAUCAGAUUCAAUCUACAUCUAGUUGAAAGCAAAAAUGUCAUUACUCUUAGUUGUUUUGAGUAUUUGGAAUGAUACUUUAUGUGUUCGUUUUUCUAUUUAUAGAGAUUUUAUCAUUUGUUCUUUCAUUUGAACUAUCAAAAAUACAAUUUCAUUUCAAAUAAGAGCCUUAGUGACAUAACCCUACAUUGAAAAAAUUUUCAAAUGUCAAAAGGGAAUAAAUUUUCCCCAAUGAGCUAUUCUUUACUUUAGCUGUCAUUUGAAGUAAGAAUGAUACUGUGGUCAUCAUUUCUACUAUCUAAACACUAUUUAUCCUUUGCAUCCCCAUUUAAGUUUAAAUUGGUGAUUCGGUUCAAAAGAACUCAUGAUCACACCCCACAUUAGAGAAUUUUCAAAAAUAGCAAAGAUGCUAAAAUUUUGAAAGGAACAUGAAGUAUUCAAAAAAAAAAAAAAAGAAGCGGCAUCUAUAUUCUAAAAGUUAAGGAGCUUUCGAUUCUAUCAUUUAUAUUUGGGAUUACGGUAUUGGCAAAAAAAAAGGGGAAACAGAAAAAAAGGGAAAAUGCGAAGAAAAAAAAAGAAAAGAAAAUGAAAAGAUGCAAAGAGGUUCAAUGCUGAAAUCCCUCUAGUGAUUAAUGAUAACAGUUAAAAUAGAAUCCAAGAUCUUUGAUCCCAAAACUGGGGCAAUUUUGGGAAGGAAAGCAAUCUUAAGUGCAAUGUCCUUCAAAAUCUUGUUUCUUUUAGCUAUCGUUGUCAAGUCACAUUACAAGCUUAUAAAGUCCAUUGUUGACUUAUCUUUCAUGACAACUUGAAAUAAAAAUCGUGCCUCUAAGGGAUCUACCAAUCAUUCGUGAUCACAAGAUCAUAACCUGUUUCAUCGUGUUUAUCUAUUUCUUUUACUCAUAUAUUAUAAGUCUAUAAAUCUUAUAUAUUGACUAAGUUUUCAUAAAAUGUAAAAGUGAUAAACUAUUUGCUAUCACCAAGAUGUGGUAUUAAAUGGGUUAGAUGCAAUAUGUGCACAAAAUCGAGACAAAUCUUGAUGAACCAUUUUUAACCAUUAUUUCUCUUAACCACCUGAAAAUUAGAAAUAAUACGCUUGUUUGGUCCUAAAGGAUGAGUUAACGAGAAAAAGUGAUCAUUUUCCCUAAAACACAGAUCCUAAAGUGAGGAAGAGAUCUUUUGCAAUUUGAUCUUGUUUUAAGAGAUUCAUCAUGAAGUCUUCUACAUAUGUUUAAAUGCAAUAUUUAAGUUUCUUCUUCAUUUGAAGAAUGCAAUUUCUAUUGUACAUCAAUCCACAUUGCAUGUUAGUAUGUGAUUAUUUUUUAAAUUUUAGGAAACACAGUUUUCUUGUUUUGUCAAAAUAAAUGGAAAGUCAUCCAAACAAAAUUUUUACAAUUAAAACAACUCCAAAUUGGGGCAAAUUUUUGUAAUACAUUUGUGAGAUUUCGCCCAAUAGACCCAAAUUGUGGCAAAUUUUUGUAAUACAUUUGUGAGAUUUCACCCAAGAAUCAAGUAAUAUACCUUCGAAUCUAUUGUUUAAAAUUCGACUUUGAUAAGACCAGACUUUUCAUGAGUAAUAAUUGCAUCUUUUUUUUCAAAAUGAAGUAAAUUUUUUUUUGUGAAAAUUCAAGUGCAAAUUGUAUUUUGGCAAAUUCCCUCUGUGUAGCACAAAUAUGGUUGAGAUCGGUGAAAUAGCGCAAGUCAAAAUCUUAAAAAUUUGAAUCUCAACCAUGAAUAAAAAAAAGGAGCAAUAAUGCUACAUUUGCAAAGUGGAGGACUAGCUUGUCCAUUGAGAAGAACUUACUUUAGCAACUAGUUUUGAAAAAAAAAAAAAGGAGGGUUUUCCUCCAAUUUUGCAAAUUUUGUUGUUGAACUUUUGGAGCAUUUUAUUUUGGAAUUGUGUUUCUAAGUUGAGGCAACAUUUUAUUCUCUCAUGCUUGGAAUGGAAAUGUUAACACCUGCCAAAAUUAAGAUCCCAUUCCUGCGCAUUUUGAUGAAAGCCCAACUGAAAGAAGCCAAAUCAGUCAAGAAGCCAUGAAUUAUUAUCUCCAAUUGAUAGAAAUGAGUUGAAUGCCAUUUGUCAUAGGCAAUAUUACCAACAAUGAAUGACUCAUGUUCAUAACAAGAAAGACAAAUCUCGCUUGUUUGAAGUGAGAGAUGAGGUUUUGAAGUGAAUACUUCCGGUUCAAGCAGAGGCUAAAGGAAAGUUUGCUCCAGCUUGGCAACGACCAUUCAUUGUUAAAGAGUGCUACUUGGAGGAGCACUUAUUCUCAUAGAGAUGGAUGGACAAAUUUUUUCUCAACCUAUCAAUUCAGACUUGUGCAAAAAAAAUUUCAAUUGAUUAUGAAAAUUUUCUUUUGAAAUUACUGCAAAAGAGGGGUUCAAGUCAGUCUUUCCUUCCCUUUUCAUUUGGACAUUUUAUCUUUAUUUUUUUUCUUUGACCUCUCAGAAUAACUUAUUCUUUUUGCUUGGUAGUCCUUUUAAGAUUGCAAGCCCUACAUUGGGGUAAAUUUUUAUUUCUUUGUUUCUAUUUUCAAAAAACAAAAAAAAAGAAGAAGAAAUAAAAAUAGAAAAAGAGUGAGUGAGCGCAAAAGAGAAGAAAAGAGAUACCCAAUUAGAAUUAAACCGGGGCAAAUUUUAGUUCUUAUCAACCUUACAUUGGAGCAAAUUUUGAAAAAUUGCGAUCUCGAAAUUUUCAAACCCAUUUUGUAAUAUAGCUUCAAACCCUAACCAUUUCUUUACACCUCACCGAACCCCAUUACAAAAGUAAAAUGUUAUCAACCUCCCCUUUUGUAAUAUUUUGAGGGAAAUUUUUUUAAUCAAUUGACAGAUGAUGUAAAUACACUUUCACCAAUUUUGCAAGGGAAGGAUUGUCUCACUGAUGCCAUCAAUUUUAAAACUUAUUUUUGAAUUGAUAGAGGUUGUCAUUAAAUUUAUUCAUUAGGUGAAAACCCAAAAGGGCGCCUCUUCAAAAAAGAAAAGAAAAGAAAAAAAAAGAAGAAAGAGAAAGCAAAAAAAAAAAGAAAAAGAAAAUGGGUAGGGGCAACUUUAAUGAAAAUCCGAAAAGGCACUAAGGUAGGGUUUUGAAGCACAAAGAGAGCCGUGAAUGAAAAACAGAGAGUCGAUUGUUGAAUAGUUGGUGAUUAUAUUCAUUUGGGUUUCUCUUUAUACUGAAACUCUUUUGACAACACUAAAUUUCAAAAAAAUGAUAUCAGAAGGGAUCAUAAAUGACGUUUCUCUCAUCAUAGACUGGCUGUUCAAAUUUAUAUAUGAGUCUCCAAAUCACUUUUAAUAAACUUUAUAAGAAUCGUUUUCUCAUUGAAAAUAAUUUUUACUCUAUUCUUGUUUCGUUGCAUUAAUAAUCUAGUUUAAAAUUUUUACAUGUUUUACCAAGAGACCAUCCCCGCAAUUUAUCGUAAUUGGUAUAUAGACAUGCAUGUCUCAUGGUAUAAACAUGGUUGGCUAAGUAAAGAUACUAGCAUAUCAAGAACAAGUUGCACAACAUUUCUAAAUUAAACUGUUUUUUUUUUCAACAUCUAAAAACUCAUUUUUACAUGGUUCUCAAGACUCGAGGAAUGACACGGUGGUGGCAUUAUAUUUUAUCACAGUUGUUUUCAUUUUCUUUUGCAAGAUUGGAUUACGCAAGCGGUCUGCCAAACCCUUUGAUUCGCCUUAGGGCAAAGGUGGAUCAUCACAUAUUUAUUGGAGUUGGGUUUUAUCCCACUAAACAUUUAUUUUGUUGAAUUUGGAUUUAAUCCCAUCAACCGUUUAUUUGUUGGGUUCGAAUUUUAUCCUACCAACCAUUUGUUUUGUUGGGUUUGGGUUUUAUCCCACCAACCAUUUAUUUUGUUGAGUUUUCCACCGACCGUUUUUUUUUAUAGGGUUUGGGUUUUAUCCCACGAACCAUUUAUUUUAUUGGAUUUGGAUUUUAUCCCACUAACCGUUUAUUUAUUGAGUUUGAAUUUUAUCCCGCCAACCCUUCAUUUUAUUGAAUUUGAAUUUUAUCCCACCUACUGUUUAUUUUGUUGGAUUUUGAUUUUAUCCCACCAACUUUUUAUUUGUUGGAUUUGGGUUUGGGUUUUAUCUCACCAACCUAUUAUUUGUUAGAUUAUUAUUUUAUCCUACCAACUUUUCAUUUGUUGAGGUUUGAUUUUAUCGGACCAACCUUUCAUUUGUUGGAUUUGGAUUUUAUACCAUCAACCUGCUAUUUGUUGGGAUUGGGUUUUUCCCACCAACAUUUUAUAUAUUGGAUUUGGAUUUUAUCCUACUAACCUUUUAUUUGUUCGGUUUAGUUUUAUUCCACCAACCUUUUAUUUGUUGAAAUUUGAUUUUAUCCCUUUUAUUUGUUGAAAUUUGAUUUUAUCCCACCACCAUUUUAUUUGUUGGAUUUGGAUUUUAUCCCAUCAAUAUUUUAUUUGUUGGGUUUGGGUUUUAUCCCUCCUGCCUAUUUAUUUGUUGGAUUUGGGUUUCAUCCCAUAACUCUUUAUUUGCUGGAUUUGAGUUUCAUCCCACAAACAUAUUAUUUAUUGGAUUUGGAUUUUAUCCCACCAACCCUUUAUUUAUUGGGUUUGAAUUUUACCUCACCAACUUUUAUUUGUUAGGUAUGUGUUUUAUCCCACCAACCUUUUAUUUGUUAGGUUUGAAUUUUAUCCUAUCGACCGAUUCAAAUGUUUACUAAUUUCAAUCUUGUUUAAAUGCUCAUUUUGUUUGUUUUGAUUCAGUUGCAACUGAAGUAGACAGGUAAGUAAUUUGAUAUCUACAUCUUUAUCUUGAAUUUCUUUGAAAUUUAAAUAAAGAGAGGCAUGUUGUAGACACCAAAUUUUUCUUAAUUUCAAGUAUGCUAUUUUUUAACUUAAAUUGCUUAAAUGAUUAUUUUAAUUUUUGAUUUGUAGGUUUGUGCAAAAAAAAAAAAUUUGUGACUACACGUGUGCAAUUUCCCUUCUUGUAACGAACCAAUAAUAAUACAAGAUAGCUGAAAAUUUUGGGCAGAUUUUUGGAUGGAUUUUUCCUCCUUUUUUUUUUUUUAAGUUUUGGAUUGUACAAGAACAACUCAUGACAUCCUAAAUUCUAUCUUUUAGUACCUACCAAAAAUUGAUCCAAGGGAGGGGAACGGGCACACAAUUCUAUUGGAUCCUAACCAUCAAUUCUAGACUUUAGAAUUUUUUGUUCCAAAAACUCCAACUCUCUCAAGAAAACCCCACACAUUUUCUCGGUUCCCUUUUCACUCACUCUCACAAUAUAACCCCAAACAACACAAAAAAAACAGCCAACUCCCCUAACUCUCUCAAACUCUCCCUUUUUUCUCACACACACAAGUUUUUUUCACAAACUAAACAAACAAAGGAAACAAAAGGACGGUUACGGCUUGAAAAACUUUAUCAAAAUGUGAACCGAGGAACUACUACUUUCAUUGAGGUAUUUUCUAGCUUUUUAAUCAUAUUACAUGCAUGUUUCAUUGCUUAUUUUUCUCUUGCUUUUGCUGGUUUGUUGUUGUGAUUUUGGAAAAGUCAUAGAACAAGAUUAAGGGAAGAUAAAUGGGUUUUGUUUAUGUAUAUAAAUUGUUUGAACAAACGCCAAAGGAAAAAACCAAAUUAAGUUAGGUUGUUUCUUAUUCAUUUAAAGUCAUAGUUGCACUUUAGAAUUCGAAAGGGUUGUUUUGGUGUGACUUUUACAAAUUUUAGAGGUGAUUAGAGUGGUUUUAAAAAAAAAAAAAAAACUGGGCUGUUUUUCAACAAUUUAGUCACUUUUGGUUCGUUUUUUGUAAAAAUUAAGGUCGGAAACGGAUUCCAUGCAAAAAAUCAAGUGGGGAGGUAUUUUGGUGAAUUUUCAUGAUCGGAGAGAUCGCCAGCGGCCCGCGAUGGCGGCGCCGCCAGCUCUGAGGCUUCAAUCUGCCGAAGAAGAUCAAAGAAAGGAAAGAAGAAGAAGAGAAAGGAAAGAAAGAAAAAGAAGGAAAAAGAAAAGAAAGAAAAAAGAGGGAAAAGAGAAAAAAUAAAGGGUUGGGUUUUUAUCUAGGGUAAAUUCCACUUUACCCCCCUGUGGUUUAGCGUUUUUUCACAUAACCCCCCUAUGGUUUCAAAAGCUAUACAUAACCCCCUCAUGGUUUGGAUUAAAGUGUCAAAGUAACAGAAAUAGUCACUCGUAACGGAACUUCUAAAAAUGUCGAAAUUACCCUUAUAAAUACAUGACACAUUAACCCCCUAUGAUUUUUAUAUUUUACCAUAUAACCCCCUUAUGGUUUAAUACUUUACCAUAUAACCCCCUUAUGCUUUUCAAAAUAUACACAUAACCCCCUUGGUUAAUACAUAAAUUUCAACCUUACAUAACGGUAUUUUUGACAUUUUAGGUGACGCCGUUACGAGUGACCAUUUCCGUUACUUUGACACUUUAAUCCAAACCAUGAGGGGGUUAUGUAUAGCUUUUGAAACCACAGGGGGGUUAUGUGAAAAAACGCUAAACCACAGGGGGGUAAAGUGGAGUUUGCCCUUUUAUCUAUUUGUAGUUGAGUUUAAGAGUGGGCUGGUAUUGUUUUUUUUACUUUGGGUUUUGUCUGGGCUUUAGAGUUAAGCCAAAUAUUUUUAUAAUAUCUAAGUUUGUUUAAAUUUCUUUAAGUUUGUUUGUUUGUUUGUUUUUUUGGAUUAGAUUGCGUCAAUUUAUUUGGGCUGAAGUGUUGCGGCCCAAAAUACAUAAAAAUAGCCCAAUGUUUGUUUUUUGUGAAAUCAGAAUCCACAUUUUGCAAUUCGGUCCUUGAUUUUUCAAGUAAUUUCACUGUGGCUCUAAAUUUUUGAAUUUCUUUCACUUAGAUCCUUAAUUUAAUUGUACUUUGGUCCUUAAACUUUAUCUUUUUAUUCAAUUUUGACCCCUAAUUUUUUCAAUAAGUAUAAUUUGACCUCAAUAACUUUUCCAAUUUUGCAAUUAGGUCCCUUAGCUUGAUUAUUUCUUAAUUACAAUUGCUUAUCUUCUUUAAUUGUUAAUCUUGCUUCAUUUAAAUAUAUUUAAUUUACAAAUUUUAGGGAUUUUAUGUUUAUAUUUUUUUAUAAUAAUAAAGUGAAUUUACUAUAUGUUUACAUUUUCUUUUAAAUUAUUGUUUAAAUUGGUGCCUUGACUACUUUAUUGGAUUUGGAGUAUAAAUAGGGCAAUUAUACCUCAUUUAACCACUACUUCAGGGGAGGCAUUUUCUAUUAUUAUUUUAAGUUUCUUUGAUGUGCUCCUAUGUAUUUUUUAUGUGUGAUUGCACAUUUUGAGUGUUUUUUCUUUUAUUUACUCAUCUUAUUCAUUUUAAAUUUUUAUUUAUUUUAUUCAAUUUUUGAUGAUUAUUUGGGAGAUAUUUAAAUACCAAAUUGUAAUAGAUAGGUGUCUAAGAAACAUAUUUAGUUAGGCAAUGUUAUAGAUAGAUUUUAUUUUUGCCAAGAUUGUAAUUGUUUAGAUAAAUGUAAUAAAUAGGUUUACGAUUUCCAAAAAUUCCCCUUCUAGAUUGUACGUAGGGCUCCCAAUGUAAUAGUUAAUUUUUGUUUGCUUGUAUGCUCGUGUGCUCAUGUGUUUAUAUGUUUAUUCGCUUUCUUUAGGUUUUUUGCAUCUAGAUAUUAUGUCUAUGUGUUAUGUGUCUUAUUUGUUUUAUGUCUUUAUUUGAUUUAAUUAUGUUUUAUUUAUUUAUAAUAAAUGCAUGACGAUAUCACACUAGUCCAAUACUAGUUGCGACCUUUCUUCUCGAUUUCUCACUAGUCCAACGCUAGUGAGAGCUUGUAGAAAUGGGUUAGUCCAAUACUAGAUCUUUUAGACCAUUUUCACGCUAAUUUCAUGCUUUGGUGUGACAUUUAUUGCAUUUCAUGCAUUUUUUCCUAUUUUUAGGAUAUUUUUAUCAUUAGCAUGAUUUUUUCCUACUAUUAUUCUCUUAUCCUCUAUAUGUUUGGACCAUAUCGUUUAGAAUUGCAUUUUAUUUUAGGAAAUUAGAAAUAGGUUAGUCUAUUUGGUUGACUAGGUUAGAAAAGUCAUGCUUCAAAUAUGAAAAAUGAACGAGUAUGAUUUUUUAACCUUAGUACGCUCUCAUCCCCUCUGUAAGAAGAAAAUUGAGUCACGAAUUUUAGUUUUCCGUACCCGUUAUACUACAUUCCCCUCUCCUAGGUCAUGUAUAUUUGCCUAUAUAUUACAAUUGCCUUUUUGUGUCUCAUCUUUUGCAUUUUUGUAACAUCUUCAAAGAAUCAUUUUUGGGUAUUACAAUUAAUGUGAUUUGCACCAAUUAAAUUUUGAAAAGACAUUUCAUCUCUCUCAAUACCCCCUAGAUCUAGGUUUGCAUUCAUAUAGAAACAUCCAAAUGUGAUAAGUUUUAUAAGUUAGAUUAGGAAAAAUUUCGAUUAAACCUCGCAACUAACCUUUGUUAGGUUGAAAGGUACCUUAGAUUUGAACCUAUCAAAUCUUUGCCUUUCCUUUUUUUAAUCGUAACUCCCGAAUUCUUUUCUUUUGUUUUCAAAGUCCUGGAGUUGUCUGAAAAGAGUUUUAUCCAUUUUUUAUUUAAAAUAUAUUUUUGGUGAUUUGGUACACCUAAACUCAAUAUCAAAUGGCGACUCUACUUUUUUUUUCUAAAAAUCCUUUUAGACUAUUAUUUUGGACUCAAACCGUCACAUUUUCUAAAUCCUAUUUUAGGCCCCUUUUUCUUUAUUUAUUUUCUAAAAUAAAAAACUCAUUUUAAAUACCACUUUCUCUUUUAUUUUUUUUUUUCAAAAAUGGGGCACUACAUAUCAUUUUUUUCAUUUUACCAAGGUGAUUAUCCUCUAAUUGUUUACCAUUUCUAAAAGUGAUUGCAUUCACAUGUUCUCUAGGAUUCACCUCGAUUUUACUUGAAAAUUCACCCGAUUGUCUCAAAUUAAUAGAAUUAGCAAUAUUACCUGCCCCUUGCAUAUCCCUAAUCAAAAUCAUCAUAUUGUUCAUGUUCAUUUUAAUAUCAUCAAAUCUUUCUUUUGUAUCAUGAAUAUUGUUUUCAAAUUUAGCCUCCAAAGUUGAAAAUCGUGACUCAAGUGGUCUUGUUGGAAAACUGAGUGGAUUGAUAGAUUUUUGAGAAUUUGAUUAGUCUCUCCACCCUAAUUUUGGAUGAUUCUUCCAACCGGAGUUGUAAGUGUUUGAAAAAGGGUUAUUUUGAAGCGGCCGAUUAUAGCUGUUAACAUUAUGAAUUUGCUCCACAUGAAAACAAUUAGCACUAUCAUGAUUACCAUCACAUAUUGAACAAUAAGCAACACUUACAUGAGAAUUUGAACAAUUUUUUCCUUGUUUACUUAACAAACUCUCAACGUUAUCCAUUCGAGAAUUAAACAUGUUUUCUAAUUUGGCACUUAAAAAAUUGAGAGUGUCAAUUUCAUGUGUACCGGUUGCUCUUCUUGCAUUAAUUCUUUUAUUUGCCUAUUGAUAGUUGUUAGGGGUCAUUUCCUCUAUUAAAAUUUGAGCAUGCUCAGUUGAUUUUUUCAUUAAAGCACUAUCAACAACGGCAUCUAUGUUGAUCUUGGUUGGGUAGUUGAAUCCAUUAUAAAAAGUUUGAACAACCAACUAAUUGGGGAGACCAUGGCGGGGACAUCUUCUUUGAAGAUCUUUGAAUCUCUCCCAAUAUUCAUAUAACGACUCGCUUUAUAUUAAGUAAAACCUAUGAUAUCUAUACAUAGUUUAGCCAUUUUUUCGAGAGAAAAAUAUAUAUUUAAGAUUGUUUUUGUCAACUCACCUCAAUAAGUGAAAGUAUUAGGUGAAUAAGAGUUAAUCUAUACCUUCACUUUAUUACAGAGUAAAAAGGAAACAACUUUAACUUAAUUGUGACAGGUGUCGGGCCUGUGUAAUAAUAAAUAUCUGCUCAAAUAAAGUAUGAAUUUUGUAUAUAGUGGUAAGUAGGGUCGAAUCCAUAGGGACUGGGGGAUUUUGUUUCUUCUAGAAUUUAGAGUAUCGGGGACUUUUAUAAAAAUAUCAAAUUAACUAAUCAACUAAAUAAAAGCAACUCACGAAAAUAAAUAGGAAUUAAUCAAUAAUAGAUACGACUCUAGCUAAAGAUGCAACAUCUCAGACACGGUCCAUUCAACUGAUCAUAGAUACAAAGAUAAUUCAAUUACUCAUUAAUAGAUUGAUUAUAGUUGCCAUACACACGAUAAACAACCAAUUUUUUCUUACUUUUUCGAUAGCCAAGAUACGAUUGUUGAUUUUUUUCCCUAAUCAAGGAACAAUUCUAGGUACGACCGUAGGAUUUAAUUCCUCAAUUGCAUUAAAAAUUAGAAAAAUCCAACUCUAACCAACAAACAUGCUAUGAGAUUCGUUUAAAUUAGAUCAUACAUUUCCCUAACAUGGGACCAAUCACGCUAGUCACCACUGGUAAAAAUCAAUUAAAUAAUUACGGAUUUAAUCAAUUAAUCUAGCCAUAGAAUAUUAGGUUAAUUCGAAUAUCGGACUCUUGACAUUCAAAUAACAAAACAAUUAUAAGAAGUUAAACUAGAAAAUGUACAAAUACCAAUGAGUAAAAGAAAUAAAUAAAAUUAAUUCGAUCUGACAGAUGUUUGGAACCGUGACUUCAAAUCGAUCCUUGACUAGAAAAAGAAAUUCAACUACUUUCUAUUGAGAAUAACCCACAUAAUUCCAUUGAUGAGAAUUGCAUGAAGUUCUACAAUGAAAAGAACAAAACAAAGGGAAAGAAAAACGAAAGGAAGCCAAGCGGCCCUUGGUUGUAACUACUCACAAUCCCAUGUCUAUUCUAAUCCUUAUUCUGUUUCCUAUCAAGUCCUAAUAUUUCAGCCAUCCAUUGGCCAAUCAAAAAUAGAAUUAUAAUUACAAAAGGAAAUUUCUCCAACUAAUGCUAAUUGUUCCCUAAUAAAAUAUCUAAAAAAUGGUAAUUUCCUAGUCUUCCGCCAAUAAUCGAUGUAGACUGCAUCUUGAAUUGGGAAACUCUUGAAAAAUCACCUCUUUUAUCACUUUUUUCUCUACCUUCCUAUAAUUAGCACCAAAUAUCAAAUAUAAGUAGAAUCUAUCAAUUAAUACAAUAUUGGCUAAAAUAAAAGGAAAAAUAACCAUAAAUUGAAUGACAAUUUCAUACCUUAUCAAUGUUUCCCACACCUUAACCAUAUUUGUCCUCUAGUAUGAGAACAACAAAUCAUGCAAUCAAAUUCAAACAAUGGCUAUUGUUCGAAUAUUCUAUUGCUAAGAUACAAUUAAAACGCAUGUCAAACAUUAGUAGCAAGUUUCAAGAAAUAUCUCUCCAAUUAGCUUUCAAGAUCAAGGACUCUUCCAAUUUAUGAGAACUAAUCUAAGAAUAUAAAAUAUUCAACUAACAUCCAUCAUCAAAAUGGUUCAACUAUUAAGCAAAAUCUCAAUAUUAAAACUCAUAGAUCAGCAAACUAAUGUAAACCAUCUACAAUCUCGUACGUUUUUUUUUUGUUUUUUUUUUCAUGCUUAGCACAACCCUCCUUUUUUUCUCAAUUUGUUUUUCAAGGAAAAUGCUUAGUUCUUAGCCAUUCAAACCUUUUGACGCGAACUCCGACAUCUAUCAAAUGAAGGAGCCCGAUUACUCAACCCUCAUCGCUUAAAAUCACAUACUCAUAGCUAUCGUCGCUUUUUGACGAGAAAGUCAACACUUGUGGUGAAAACUUCUAGUUACUAGUUAACGAUAAGUAGCGGAGUAUAGCCAAAUACUAUUCAUAAAUAAGCACCAAAUUAAAAUUAAAAACCACACAAAUCCACUUCAUUUCUUAAACAUGGAGAACUAAAAUUAAUAGCUAAACCAAUUUGCACAAAAAAAUGCUAGACAAAUAUUUACAAUACUUAGAGAAGUUAACCAAAAAACACAAAAGUCAACAAAAUCUCAAAUAUUCAUCAAAGAGACAUCCUUAGAUUUAACUAUGUCAUACUUAACACCUUAGAGUAUAAAAAACUUAGCAAUAGAAAAUUUGAGACAUCUAACCAUUGUUAUAUCAGGAACAACCACAAAUAUGCACAAAGAUACACAAAAUUGGAUAAAAUUUGAAAAAGUAAAAUAAAAAAUUUCAACAAAAUUGCCUACACUUGCACUUUUUCAAUAUAUUACUCUCCCCCCACACCUAAAUAUUACAUUAUCCCUAAUAUAAUAAAUAAAGAAUCAAAAGAUGAAGUAAAAGAGAUAACGAAACUUCCCUAAAAACUGAGGAGGCCAGCAGACAGCUACAGGUGACGAGCAAAAGAUAUGUAGAGUUCGAUAGUGGCCAACCAAUCAUCCAGUUGAUGAACUUAUCCAUGCAAGUGUAGCAACUUGGCAUCGAGAGAUGAUGGUGGUGGAGGUGCGGAUGUAGACGAAAAUUGACAGAUCAUCGCUAUCAACUUAAAAAUUUCUGCUUUAAUGGCUUGAUGGCAAAGCUGAUAAAAUAAAGGUUAUGAUCGGCAGUCGAGAACGUCGGGUGGCUCACGAUGGAUGGGGAAGAAUCGCGUGUGAUGAGCAGCGAUAACAGCAAUCGAUGGGCAGCGAUGGAAUUUGAUGUCCUAAGGUUGCGGUCUUGUGGCUGGAAAAGGAAAGAAAGGAAGAAAAAGGAAAGAAAGAGAAGAAGAAAAGAGAAAGAAAGAAGAAAGAAAGAGAAAGAAAGAAAGAGAGAGAAAAAGAAAAGGGAAAAAGGAGAGGAAAAGGAAGAAAAAAGAAAGGAAAUUUUUUUUUGAUUUUUUUAACACUUUUCUAGGACAAGACGUGAGCACGUCCUGUUAGUAGAAACCCUUCUGACGAUGAAAUUGUUGAAUUAAAAGUUACCACGUGCCCUUUUGACAUAGGAACAUCAUAAUAGUCUAGACACUUCUGAUGAUGAAUUGGGAAAUUAGCUCAUUACCAUGUGUCCUUCUGACACGGGCACGUCAUGUUGGUGUAAAUGCUUCUAAUGGUGGAGUGUAUUUAUGCAUUACCACGUGCCUUCAAGAUGCAGGCAUGUGAGGACCUGAAAAUUUCUUUAUUUUCUAGUCAUUAUUUUAUUUUCUUGCAUACCAUUUCUAUACCUUUCUUUGUUGUAUUAACUUUUGAGUGAUAUUUAUAAGGGAAUUAAGUUAUUAAGACUUUUUUCCUGUACAACUUAGUCUAUGUGACGUUUGUAGUGUAUAUUGGACGUGGGACCCGCUAGUGUGAUUAAUUGUGAAGGUGUGUGUACUAAUUUUGGUGGUUAAGAAUAAGUUUUAGAUAAGAAAAAAAUGUGUGAUUAGAAGUAAUAAUAAUAAGUUAGUGAAUUGUGUCGCGCCCCAUUUUUAUAAGAAAAAUAAAUUAGUUUAGGAAAAUGAAUCUUUGAUUAAUUUUGAUUGAAAAAUGAGUUUUUGAUUUUUUAGAAAGUAAAGAAAAAUAUGGGUCUAAAUGGGACAUAAAAAUGCGACGAUUUUGACCCAAAAUAACAAUUUAAAAAGGGUUUUAAUGAAAAAAUCGGAGUCGCUACUUGGUAUCAAGUUAAGGUUUACCAAGUCACCUAAAAUUUUUUGAAUAAAAUUAUAGAAAAACCCUUGUAAACGACUCCUAAGUCUACGAAAAUCAGAGAAAGUGUUCGGGAGUCACAUUUGAUUAGAGGGAAGGCAAGGACGAAGUCCAAGGCACCCUCUCAAUCUAGCCAAGGCUAAUUGCGCGAUUUAGUCAAAAAUUUUCUUAUUUUACCCUCAAGAUUUAUCACAUUUGGAUGUACUAUAUGAAUGCAUACCCUAGACCUAGGAGGGUGUCGGGGAGUCAAAAUAUCUCUUCAAAAUUUAAUUGGUGCCAAUCACAUUAAUUGUAAUGUCCAAUAGUGACUCUUUGGAGAGGUCACGAAUAAUGCAAAAAUAUGAGAUUCUAAGAAAAGAAAAGGAAUAAAAUAAUAUAAAUACGAAUAUACAUGACCUACAGGAAUGCAUUAUGUCGGGUACGGGGGACUAAUGUUCAUGACUCAACUUUUCCUUUUAUAGAGGGAAUACGAGCGUGUUAAGGCUAAAAAGCCAAACUCAUCCAUAUCCCAUAUUCAAGGGAUUUUUCUUAUCUAAUAAUGCAAAUGUACUACCCUAACUCUAAUUCUUAAAUGAAAUGCAAGUCUAAUGUUAUGUAUCACACAUAGGGAUAUAUAAGGAAAUUUGGGAUAAUGGGUGUACGUAUAAAGGGAAUAUGGGAGGAAAAAUACAUAUAUAAGGGAAGUAUGGGAUAAGAGUUAUAUGUAUAGGGGAAAUAUGCAAAAAAUGACAAAAGACCCUAGAAAGUGAAAGAUGUGCAUGAUGUGAUGUAGUUAUACAAACAUGAUCUAGCGUAGGAGGCCCCUAAGGGUCUAGCGUUGGACUAACCCAUGUCUACAAAUUCUCACUAGCAUUGGACUAGUGAGAAAAUCGGAACAAAGAGCCACAACUAGCGUUGGACUAAUGUGGAUUCGAGAAAGGGGGCCACAACUAGCGUUGAAUUAGUGUGGUGACGACAUGCAUUUAUUACAAUCAAAUAAAUCAUGUAAGACCUAAUAAAAUCACGUGAUAUCACAUAAACACAUAACACAUAAUCAUGAUAUGUAGAUGUAAGGCCUUAAGAAAGCAGUAACACAUAGCACAUAGGCAUGCAAAAACACACAAGGCAAAUAAAGCCCUAACUAUUACAUUUAGGGGGCCCUACUACAAUCUAAAAGGGGAAAGGAAUAAAAAUAAAUAAAUAAACCCCUAACUAUUACAAUUUGGCAUUUAAAUGCCUUUCAAAUAAUUGAAAUUGAACUAAAAUAAAUAUCCAAAAUUAAAACAAAUAAAGCGAAUAAAUAAAUAAAUAAAAUGAAAACAUUCAAAAGGCAUGCAACAAAAUCACAUAAGGGCACAUAAAAUCAAUUAAAGUCAAAAUAAGGGAUAGAGUGUACCUCUCUUGAGUUGAUGCCCUAAUGAAAUGAAAUUAUUUAUUUACCCUCCAAAAACAAAGAAAAGGUCAAGGCAUCACUUUAAUUAACAAAAGAAUCACAUGAAAUGAAAAUAAACACGAAAUUAAAUCACUCAAAGCAUUCAAAUAAACUAAACAACCCAUAUUCAUCAAAUAAGGACCCAAUUGAAAGAAUUGUAAAAGUUUGAGGGAUCAAUUUAUUAUUAAAAUUAAAGAUUUAAGAUUAAACCUACAGAACCAAAAUGAUAAAAUUCACAAAAAUAAGAGAAAAACCUAUUUGCAACAAAAGUCCCUAAUAUUUAAUUGUUAUAUCAAAAAUCCAAAUGAAACUACAAAUCUAACGCUAAUUAUUAAACCUUCAGAAAUUCAUCCUAAAAUUUAUUAGAAAUCUAUCCAAAAAUCAUGUUAAGACAUAUUAAAAAGAAAUGGCAUGUUAAGGGGACACAAUUGAUCAAAUUGGUCAAUUAAUUGGGCCAAGGUGGAAUGAGGAGAAACAUGUGGGGUUGAAAUGCAAUUUUUGGAAGAUUUUCAUGCAUGCAAACCAAAGCCUUCGGCAAAAGCUGAAGUUGUUUUCCUUCUACCAUUUCUGCUGGAAUUUUUCAUGCGCAAGCCUCUGCAAUCCAAUAAAAACUUUCGGCAAGCAAGAUUCAUGCAAAACUUUGAUCCAUCUCUAAUUAGACAUGGCUAAACAUCUAUUAACAAAGGAAUUCUUGGAAGACUUUCAUGCAAGUUGCAUGCAAAAAAUAAGCUUCUGCAACCGAAAGAAUGUUUUUAAAACUUUUUCUCCUAUGCUAUUCAGUUUCAGCAGCCGCAAGCCACUCAUGGUUCGUGAGGUAAAAGAACAAUAUCAUGCCAAACCAUUAACCCAAUCACCUAGUUUUUGGUGAGCAUGCACUUCUGGAACGAGGAGAGACAAAUAACUCACGAAGGAAUAAAUAAUAGUUCAGCAAGAUGCAGACCAAUUCACUUCAAUCUUGCUGCAACUUACUCAUGAAGCAUGUUCAUACAAUCAACUUAAAUCCAACCUACCAAGUGUAAUGAUUUUCCACCCACUGAUGCCAUUACCUUAAGAUACAUCCCAACAGAUUUGAAAGUGCACAAAAUGCAGCAAAGAUGCAUAAGGAAAGAAACUAAAAAACACAACAGACUUCGCGCAACUUCCUUUCUACAAUUUCAGCAUGUAUAUAAACAUUUACACGCCCCAAUGAAACAUGUAGAUACCUCACCCAAUGCCCCAAAAAACUCCAACCCAACUUACUUUGAAUCAAACAGCGAAAUCAUAAUUUUAGUUACUGCCUUCACCCCCCCCCCAAAGAAAAUUUUACAAAAACUACGCUGCAUUCAUCUCGAAUCAAAAACCAACAUUGACUAAAAUAACCAAAUCUGAUGAACUAUACUUCUGGAACAAAUCAUACAUAACAUAGGCAAUCAAAGGAAGUCUUGCCGACAUUAGAAACUCCUACUUCGACACACCAAAAGGGAGCAGAAAAGAACUGCUGCAACAAGCUGAAAGCUUCGAGCUUGUUGCAGCUUUUUGCAAUCUUGACUUCAGCCAAACAAAAAACCACAAAUUCCAUGAGCAAGUUUAAACAAAGGUUCAUUUUUCGGAAAAAACUUUAACUGAACCCAAACAACCAUAAACAUAGCAAGGAUAAACACAACUUACGGAGAGGAAAUGCCAAAAAAACCUCUGAUGCAUCAAAAUCACAGAAACUUAUCAUACGGACAUGCAAAUCUUUUGUGAGAAAGGAAAGUUGUGCAGUCUUUUAGGUUCAUCGUUUCAAAGCACAAAAACCAGCAGCAAAUAAUACAAGAUCUACGUCCACAGGCUUGCAUUCUCCCUAAAACUAAUUAAAGUAACAAAAGAAGAAACGAUAGUUACCUCUGGACCGUGACGAAGGACAAUGAACGUCAAAUGUGUCGGAUUUCAAGGAAUCGCCUCACUUUCUUUGGAUCUCUUUCACUCUCGUUGGUUUUUUGUUGCCUGGUUCUUCUCUUUUAUGGCUCCUUAGUCUCCCGAGGAACUUCCUUCCUUUCCCGUAGGUUUCUUACCCACAGUUUUUUCAGAUUUCACCAAGCUAUCCUGAUUUCUCUCCGUUGCUGUUUCUCCCUUUUCUUCCUCGGCCAGCCCCCAGCUCUCCUCUCGUUUUCCAAUUUUCUUACUUUUUCUUUCUAGCCCUCAGCCAUACCUACCUCUUUUGCUCUUGGUCUCCUCUCGUUCCUCCUCGCAAGCUCUCCCCGCAACCCUCUAGUUUUUGUUCUCUUUCCGUAGCUAGUUUCUUGCCCUAGCCGCCCAAACGAAGCUCUCUCCUUUCUUAGUUUUUCCUCUGCUUCUUUGUUGUUUUCGUUCCUCCACCGCCAGCUUUUUUUUUUCCUUUCCUUCCAUUUUCCCGAAGCUUUUUUUUUUUUUUUUUUUGUCGAAACGAUAAGAUGAUCUCAUUACUUUAAUGGUAAAAAAAAAAUUACAAGUACGAGCAACAGCUCGAUCGAAACUCUACAAACUAGUGUUCUUUCUUGCCCCCCUAUUUUCUUUCUUUUUCAUCCGCUGCCCCCUUCUCGUGGCCUUUUUCCCUUUUUCCGGUCCUCCCCAAUCCUUUUUUUUUAUUUUUCUUUCCCCAAAAAUUCUCAAACCCACCAAGUGUCUAGACACCUUACCUUCUAGGUGUUGUGUUGUCAAACAAAAUAAAAGGGACACUUGUCCCUAUUGCAUGUAUCCCAUUUGUCAUUUUUCUUGAUUUGAUUUUUUCUUUAUUUUUUCAAAAUUUAGUGUUUAAAAAAUGCUUUUAAAAGAAAAGAAAAUGAUGAAUUUUAAUGUACCAAAAAUAAGAAUAAACACCAAUUACUAUUUGCAAUCUUAAAAAAAAUAAAAUAAUAAAUAUGAAACAAGAAUAAAUAAUAAUAAAAAUAAAAUUGAUUUAAAUAAACAAAGCUAAAAUUGAAUGAAUAAAGCUAAGUAAAUAAAGUAUAAAAUUGAAUUAAUGAAAUUUUUGGUGUCUACAAAUUGUAAAUGAAAACCCUAUUACACACGAUUUAAGGAAAAUUGAUUUGAACCGACGUGUACCGUUCGCUACCGAUUGAAUACACCACUUGACCACCACUUUAUUACCUUAAUCCUCUUCUUAUUAUUUCAUAAAUAUCAGCCCUUAAAUAUCCUAGAGAGAGAGCCAAAAUUAUUGACCAAAAAGAAAGGAAAAAGAAGAAAAAAUUUGACUUCCAAUCAAAGUGUGACACUUGUUAAAUUUAGACCCAAAUCAAUUCCUACCUUCUUAUUUUUUUGGAGCUUCAUUUCAGCCUUCAUUUCUGCACACUUGGGCGUGAGUUGAAAAGAGAAAAGAGAGGAAGGAAAGUUAGCAACUUCAUCUUGAAUCCAUCUUGUUUGAGUUGGAAUCCAAAAUCCAAAUCGAUUAAAUUUUCAUUUUAGUACUUAGGAAGCUUUGUGUGGUAAAAGUUAUGGAAGAAAAUGGUGUGGUUCUCACCUACAAGCACUCUUUGGAAGGUAUCUUGGU